UGUUCCCAACCUACGAAGUUCCCUGAUGGCAGGAUCCGCGUCCCAGCACUAGACCACAAAACCUGGCAGGAUUCAGUAUAUAUACAUUUAGUGAAAACAUUAACUGAAGUGCCACCACGCCUCGUCUUAGAACUCUGGGUGGCAGAAAGAGACGUUCUGUCUUCUCUGGUGCAGCCUCCGUCCUAAAACACCCAUGCGCACAGACGGCGGGGGGCUUCUUUUUUUCAGCCUCACUCCCACCUGAAGGGCUAGGGGAGAAUUUCGAAGAGCACGACAGAAAAGGCCUAGACUGCCUCCAAGGGCCCGUGAGAAGAAACACGGACUUGGAGAGCACAGCUGGUGCCGGCUCCAGAGGAAGGGAGGACCUCGCGUUGCCGGGGGUGGAGGAAAGGGACCCUGUUACUUGGCAGGACAUCGCAAUGGGAUCCUGCGGUUCUGUGGGAAGGACUUGCAACGACUGAUGCCCUUGGAUAUUCAACUGAAGGAAAGCCAAGCAGAGUCUUGAAGGUGCUGUCUGGUUUCUCCCUGGUGCUCACAGCAAAACGAGAGAGACAACCUCGUGUGAGAAUUGCGAACAAAGACUCAACUCUCAGCCUCUCCAGAUGGCAGAAGGUGCUGAAAUCCAGAUGCGGCCGCAGAAUGGGGGGUACAGGGAAGAGGAAGCCACACGACCUACUGCUGAAGCCCAGGAAAGCCCUAAAGGCCAAAGCGUUCAGUCACAAGAGAGGGAGGUGUGCCUCACGGAUCUUCCCCGAUGCCCAGGCCGGGGACUCGGCUGCAAGGGACAGAGGGUACAGCGAAAGGAGAUGACAGAACCCAAUGUGCUGCUGGCUGAAGGAGGCUGGAGAAUGGCCCAGCUGCGAAUGCCGUUCAUGAAAAAGGGAGGAAAAUCCAGGCAAGCACCCUCCCAGGGCUGGGGCGUCGGCCCCCUUCCUCCUCACGUCCCCUUGGGAAACCAGACCUGUUUCCUAUGCUGUCGCACACUGUGUGCUGGGAGAGCUGGGGCCACAGACAAGUGGUGUCCAGGAGCCUAAGAAGCCUUGUCCAUCCCUGAUUUUGCAUAUGAGAAGGAUGUGAGUUUUCGGAGCCAGAGGGCAGACUGGUAGGCAAAAUCCUACAUUAAACCCUGCGAAUUUCCUGCCCGAUCCCCUGGGACUGUGAUAUGAUGGGGCAUAAAGACUCUGACAGAUGUCCCAAAAGUUUCUGAUCGAUUGACUUUAAAAUAAGGACAUAAUCCUGGAUUAUCUGGAUGAGUCUAUUCCAAUCACAGCCCUUCAAAGCAGAACAGGAAAUCUGAGAGACUGUGCAGACUUCAAAGGCGGAAGGGCCUCCAGGAGCAGGGAGGGGUCCCAGCGUACAGCCAGCAAGGAGUCAGAGACCUCGGACCCGUGAGCACCAGGAACUGCAUUCAGCCAACAACCCAAGUGAGCCAAGUGGCUUCUUCCCAGGCUGACGGUCCAGGUAAGGGCUCAGCCCCUGAUUCUGACUUGGUGAGACCCUGAGCGGGAACCCACUGAGCCUGCCCGAACCUUGACACAGCACUGAGCUCAUAAGUGGUGCUGUGUUAGCUACUCAACUUGUGCUCAUUUGUUACACAGACUAUAAAGCUAAUCCACACCCUAUACAAUCCACGCAAACAUUCCUUGCCAGCCAGGGAGCUCUACUUUCGGAGCAUGGUCUGAGGCUUAACACUGCUAUUUACCAACUUCUGUAUUAACAAUAAACAGUAAGAAAUUUUGACCAAACAUCAAAUGGUGAUUCCUUUCUAAAUUAAAUCUCCACGACAGAACUUUUUUAAAAUUCACGACGUUACUUGACUUUACUACCUAAAUACCAUCAAAUAUAAAGAUCUCCUGGUUACGUCAAACUUCCAGACCAACAAUAUUCAACUGAAAUGACAAGUUUAAGAGAACAUACCUGAAGAAAAACAUGACGGUGCAUGGAUCGUAUAACUCAUACAUUUUGUUGAAGUCAGGCACUUCUGUAAUAUCCACAAGAUAGAUAACUGCAAAAUUUUUCACCUAGGAGAGAUUGAAACAACCCUGUACAGUAACACACCAUUUUUUUAUUCUGCAAAAGCACGUUAAAAACAAACACGAGAAUUUGUAUGUAAGCGGACAAUUUUCAAACCAAGUCCCCAACAUUCUUUCCCAGCAGAGCUAGUACACAGGGAGAUGAUUCGGCACGUUCGGGCUCCUGACAACUGGCUGCUUACACCUCGCUUUACCAUUUUCACAACAGCAAGUGAUGAGAGUCCCACAGAAAACGUCCACAGUGCAAGACGGCGCAGGGCUGAGGUCUGACCAACAGAAGGCAUUAAAUAUGGACAUGUCCCACAAAGAGCCUGGCUGCGAAAGGAGGGAAGUUACUGAGGGACCCAGGCAUGGAGCUGGGGCCCCUCUGGCCACCCCCCAAUUCCCUCUUUCCUGGUGACAGAAGACAAGGCAGCUGUGGAAUCGAGUGUGCCACACACCGCGUGUCCACAUGGCCUCUGUGGCAAGUGUUCUUUUCAUACUGCCGCGGCCCUCAGACAGCAGGGCCGGAGCACAGCACACGCCUCUGCAGAGCUUUCCGGCAAAAGGGACCCUGUGCAUCCGUAGGUGCUGCCUACCCCUACGUUUCACUCUAUCAUUAUUCCGUUAUUACUUUCCAUGUAAUACAACAGAGCUAUCACAACUUACACUGACAGAUGUUAACCUUACAGUAAAACCAAACAAACACGUCCACUUGUCCCCUAAAGCGUAAACUGCCAAUGCAGUGAGAGCCCAAGAUGCCUUUCGGAUUCAAUGUGAAUUAUUUAGCCAGUUGGCUCCAGUUCCUAGAACCUCCACAUCUCCCAAGUUAAAGCAGAAACUGACACAAGAAACCACGUCCUCUUAAAGUGAUCAAAAUAUACCACCUGUUUUAUACAUGAAGAUAUUCAAUUACCCAAACUCAACGAUAUAAUCUUCACUAUAAACGUUGGUUUUUACAGCGAGACUUUGAGAGCAGGCCCUACUUCCCUUUACCUUCAAUGAGGAGGAAGAAAACGGUAGCUCGUUCAGAAGUAAAACAACUAACGACAGCACAGUACUUAAUUCUUCUCUUCCCCUCUAUGUACAGUACACUAUGGUUCUCCAGAUAAAUCUAAGGCUUCCCGAGGCUAGGAACCACGUCUGUUCUCUUUACUGAUGUGUCCUCAGAGCCAAGCAGUACCUGACUCAUACACGGGACCAGUAAAUGCUUAGCGAGUGAAUUUGAACAAUAAGCUUGUAUUCUGAAAUACAAGAAACACAUUAAUGUCACUAAAAAUGUGUUUUUGGACAGUGUGAGCUUAAUCACGUAAUGCUGAGUUCAAACAGACCUGCCCUCAGGGUUGGUGGGGUGCCACUUCUGUCUGACGGGAGGCUCUCAAGCUCCUGCAGCUCAAACACCUGCAGAGAGCAAGGGGCUGCUCACCCAUCUGGGCGGCCAGAUGAGAACCGCACGCGGCACCAAGGGGCCUUCCUAGAAACCUGUGCAACCUACCCAGUCUUUCCCCUGGAAAAGCUACCAUUUAUCCAAGCUGCUCCUAAUGCGGGUUACAUGAAUUGUCGUGAUGCUUUCCACAUGGUCUGAACGUUUCACACCCACUGAGGAACCUACAGUUAACUAAAACUCUGUGUAUGUUUUAUAAAAGUGAAAUGAAGCUAGGAGUCUACUGUAUUUUCUCCAUUUAAAAAAAUGUUCAGGGGCGCCUGGGUGGCUCAGUCGGUUAAGUGUCCGACUUCGGCUCAGGUCAGAUCUCACGGUCCGUGGGUUCGAGCCCCGCGUCGGGCUCUGGGCUGAUGGCUCAGAGCCUGGAGCCUGCUUCCGAUUCUGUGUCUCCCUCUCUCUCUCCCCCUCCCCCGUUCAUGCUCUGUCGCUCUCUGUCUCAAAAAUAAAUAAAACGUUAAAAGAAAAAUUUAUUUUUAAAUGUUCAUUUUGGGGUGCCUGGGUGCUUCAGCAGGUUAAGUGUCCGACUUUGGCUCAGGUGGUGGUCUUGAGGUUUGUGGGUUGGAGACCCGCGUCGGGCCCUAUACUCUCAGCACUGAGCCUGCUUCAGAUCCUCUGUCUCCCUCUCUCUCUGCUCCUCCCUCACUCCCACUCUCUCAAAAAUAAAAUACACAUAAACAAAUAAUGUUCAUUUUGAAAAUAUAGAAAUGGAGUGGAAAAACCACUACUGGGGCGCCUGGGUGGCUCAGUCAGUUGGGCGUCCGACUUUGGCUCAGGUCAUGAUCUCACGGUUCAUGGGUUUGAGCCCCGCGUCGGGCUCUGUGCUGACAGCUCAGAGCCUGGAGCCCGCUUUGGAUUCUGUGUCUCCCUCUCUCUUUCUGCCCCUCCCGUGCCCACACCCUGUCUCUCUCCCUCUCAAAAAUAAAUAAACAUUUAAAAAAUUUAAAAAAAAAAGAAAAAAGAAAGAAAAACCACAACUAUGUGUCCAGCCCCGUAUUUUUAAGCAAACUCUACCCCAAAUGUGGGCCUUGAACUCAUAACCCUGAGAUCAACAGUUGCAUCCUCUUCGCACUGAGCCAGCCAGAUGCCCUUAAGUUAUACAACUUGUUUAAAAAACACUGGGCUGGAGCACAUGGCUGGCUCAGUCAGAACAGCGUGCAACUCUUAAUCUUGAGGGUGGGAGUUCAGGCCCAUGUGGGUAUACAGGCUACCUAAAAGGAAAAAAAACCCAAAACUUAAAAAUAUAGGACCGUCAAAUAAAAUCAAUAGUAUGGGUGUCUGAAAGCAAAAAGUGUUUCCCUUUCCCCAGACCCACAAGCUCACUUGUGAGGAAAUCAUAUACAUUCUGCUUUCUCCAGCUGACGUCAUUAACUGAUGCCCAUGUUAUUGAAGAAGCUCUUAGAAGAUAACUUCUAACAGCCACAUAACAUUCCAUCCCGUGAACAGGACAUUCCCAGUUUAAAUCCCAACCGUCUGUUUCUGAGCCUGGACAAACUACGUGCCAGCACCUACCUCUGGGAGCCAUCGUGAGGACCACAGGACAGGUCUGUUUCCCACCUGGCAACUGGAUGCGUCUCAGGGUUCAAACGCUAGAGCUCACGGUCAUCACCAUGUUCUCCUAUCAUGAGACACUGCUGUUGUUUCCAGGUAUGACAGAAGUUAUAGCAAAGGUCUUGUGGAGCAUAAAACUUCGUCUAUUGAAGACGCGGGGUUACUGGGCAUAAGGUAUGACUAUUCUCAAGGCUUUUUAUACGAUGCCAAACUGCCUCCUGCAAGGAGAUCCGUUCUACAGGUACCUCAAUAUUAACUUUCACCUUUUUAGCUCUGCUAUAUCUAAGAAACGAUAGCACACUAUUUUAAUGUGUGUGUCUCUGAAGUUUCCUUAACCAUGAGAAUUUCCUCUUUUUUAGGUUCCUUGCCUCUCUACCCACAGGAUUUAUUUAUUUAUUUCAUUUUUUAGCAGUCAUCUUUUUAAAUGGCACUUUAAACUUAUUCGCCUAAGUCUACUAUAUCUAAAAUAGUAUUUUGCCUGCUAUAUUUGCAAUAAUUUUAAUUGGCUGUUCGACAGUAUCUUUUAAAAACCAACGACUUUAUGUACAAAUUUCAUUUCUAUUAUCAAGUUGUUUCUUAAUGUACGUAUUCUUUUGAUUGUCUACAACAGUAACUAUGAUUUCCAACCCGACUGCCUACACGUUUUAUAAGCACCCCUCCUUCUUCGUCACCAAGUCGCUGAUUAAACUGUUCGGUAGUCCUUCUACAAGCCACUCAACUUGCCUCCAAAAAGUAACUCCUGCACAUCACUGAGACUGAGGCUGGCACAUGACCCCAACCACCACUCCACCCUCUUGUAUGGGACUCCUCCUCUGGCUAAGAACCCACCUAAAAUGCUGGAAAAAAUCUUAUGGGCUGCCAACUGGCACUAUGUAUUUUAUUUAUAAGUCAAUUUUUAGAUAAUUCAUGUCAAAGCCAUCAAAAAACUGCACGAUAACUUUAUUUUCCCCCACUACUAUUUGCCUGAUUAGCUCAACAAUAACUCUCGAAAACUCUGCGAUGUGAGUGGUAACGAUACUAACAACAGUGGCUAAGAAUUAUGGAACAUACUGCUUACUAUGAGACAAGAAGUGUUCUGGAAGUCUUUUAUAUUAAUUCUAUCCUCAUGACUGCCCUCUGGGUUAGGCACUACCAUCCCUUUCCCACACAUGAGUAAAAUGAGGCACACAGACAAGUUAUUUAAGGUCAUACGGGUAGUAAGCAGCAGAAACAAGCUUGGUCUCUACCCUUACUGCCCCUCAUAGCUUGCUCCUAGCUGCAAGACUGUUAUUUCCAGAAACACAAAUCCAGAGCAAACAUACACAUUUUGUUGGCUCUUAUGAGAACAUCAACUUCCAGUAGAGUUCAACUUACUUUAUGCGAGGUUUAAGAAUGAUCCCCCUAAGGGUGCCUGGGGGGCUCAGUCGGUUCAGCGGCUGACUUUGGCUCGGGUCAUGAUCUCGUGGUUCGUGGGUUCAAGCCCCGUGUCGGGCUCUGUGCUGCCAGCUCAGAGCCUGGAGCCUGCUUCGGAUUCUGUGUCUCCCUUGCUCUCUGCCCCUCCCCCGCUCAUGCUCUCUCUCAAAAAUAAACAUUAAAAAAAAAAAAUGCUCUUCUCUAAAGUCAUUUCUAAAAUGUUCCAUACAUAUAUUUGUCUUAUAUACAAUUUAAUGAGAAUGUAUGCUCAUGAGUCAAUGAUAUCAUUGAAGUUUUGCAUAUUUUAAACUACUUAUUUGGGCUUUUAACACACAAAAAUGAAAUGUCCCGUUUAUUCUUCCCCAUUAUGGGAUUUCGGUAACAGCGAGCUGUCACAAACUUCCUACAAAACGGCAAGACAGCUCAAGACAGCUCAGAGAUACACCAAACAGUCUCUCUUUGAAGCUGUGUAUAAUAUCAGCUGUUAAUCAGGAAGCUUUGCUUAUUACCACUCCAGCAAGCUCCAGACAUCUGUCGAAUCGUUCAGCACAUCUCUUACGUCUUCAGAGCAGCUCCAGACCACUCCGGCAUGAGUGGGGUCGGGAGGUCGGCAACGUCAAAGCAUCAAGUCAACACACUACAUUCCAGGAGAACGAUCUAAUCAAGUCCAGCCUAGACGGCGCAACUUUUACUCACUUUAAAACAGCUGGGGUAUCCAAACAGGGCUCGUAACAAGAUGAGGAAGAUCCCCCACUAUCUGCCAUUUCUGCAGAGGGAGAUUUUUAAAUAGAGAGUUAAGUUGUUCUUUAUACUAAAACUUUAAAUUUCAAAUAUUCCUGUUGAGAUUCCCCAAAAAGGGCUUCCAGAAUUAUAAACUCAUAUUUUGCCUUUAUACCAAGAAAAAAAUAAAACAAUAAUCUUCUGAUGC